AUCCAGCUGAUGAGUGCCAAACAGGACCAAGUGAUGCGCGUCCUAGAU
rfam:Schistosoma mattheei strain Denwood, Zambia genome assembly, scaffold: SMTD_scaffold0013062